UAUGAAGACGCGAAUCAGUCAAGAGUUUCACACUUCAGGGUUUUACUCGGACACUAGAGAAGCUGCUUCACCUCCAGCCUGAGUGCUGUUCGAUCCCGUGCACUACUACCGUGUUUUUACCGCGGUAUUUUCAGUCUCAACACUGUCGUGUGUGUUUGUCUGCAGGUGCAAGACGUCUUCGAUGAAUCUCCGUUCUACGUGCCUGCUGAUAGCGUCAGUAUCAUGAACGGCACAAAUGAAGGGAUUCUGGCCUGGGUCACAGUCAACUUCCUGACAGGUCGACUGCACAGAAACACACAGAAGACGGUGGGAAUCCUGGAUCUGGGCGGAGGAUCCACACAAAUCACCUUUCUGCCCAAAUCAAGGGUCAGUGAGCUCUGG